rnacentral:rRNA from 1 species
CCUACGGGCGGCAGCAGUGAGGAAUAUUGGUCAAUGGACGAGAGUCUGAACCAGCCAAGUAGCGUGAAGGAUGACUGCCCUAUGGGUUGUAAACUUCUUUUAUAUGGGAAUAAAAUGUUCCACGUGUGGGAUUUUGUAUGUACCAUAUGAAUAAGGAUCGGCUAACUCCGUGCCAGCAGCCGCGGUAAUACGGAGGAUCCGAGCGUUAUCCGGAUUUAUUGGGUUUAAAGGGAGCGUAGGUGGAUUGUUAAGUCAGUUGUGAAAGUUUGCGGCUCAACCGUAAAAUUGCAGUUGAAACUGGCAGUCGUGAGUACAGUAGAGGUGGGCGGAAUUCGUGGUGUAGCGGUGAAAUGCUUAGAUAUCACGAAGAACUCCGAUUGCGAAGGCAGCUCACUGGACUGCAACUGACGCUGAGGAGCGAAAGCGUGGGUAGCAAACAGGAUUAGAUACCCGUGUAGUC